GAUGAGGUGGUCGAGAGAUUAUGGCAGUGGACUGCUAAUCCAUUGUGCUCUGCAUGCAUAGGUUUGAAUCCCAUCCUCGUCG
rnacentral:tRNA from 1 species